GCCUUCAUGGUGUAGUGGUCAGCACACUCGGCGCGUAUUCGAGAGGUCAGUGGUUCGACUCCCGGCGAGGGCA
rnacentral:tRNA from 1 species